rnacentral:rRNA from 1 species
UAUCUCUGUAGAGUCUGCAUAUCAAUAAGCGGAGGAAAAGAAACUAACUAGGAUUCCCUCAGUAACGGCGAGUGAAGCGGGAAGAGCUCAAAUUUGAAAUCUUCAAGGUUUACCUUGACGAAUUGUAGUUUAAAGAAGUGUUUUCUGUUGGUGUUUUGGUAAAAGUUCUUUGGAAUAGGACAUCAUAGAGGGUGAGAAUCCCGUAUUUGACCAUUACUUCCAGCGUUGUGAUACACUUUCAAAGAGUCGGAUUGUUUGGGAAUGCAGUCCAAAAUGGGUGGUAAAUUUCAUCUAAAGCUAAAUAUUGGCGAGAGACCGAUAGCGAACAAGUACCGUGAGGGAAAGAUGAAAAGAACUUUGAAAAGAGAGUUAAACGAGGUACGUGAAAUUGUCAAAAGGGAAGCGUUUGACACCAGUGUUGUUUUCUCGAAAAUCAAUUAAAAAAAGUUGGAUUUUGUAUUGUUAAGACCUUAUCAGCUUACUGUACUCUUUUCUUGCUUUUUUUAAUGCACUUUUCGUUUAACAAGUCAACAUCAAUUUCUUUUGUUGUAAAAGAGUCAUUGGAAGGUGGCUUUCACUUCGGUGAAAGUGUUUAUAGCCUUUGGCUUCUGCAAUCGGAGAGAUUGAGGUCUGCAGCGUAGAUCCUUCGGGGCUAGAUACGUAGAUGCUAAGUUAUAGUUUUUUAUAGACAACUUGUUGACUAUAAUUAAUCAUGUAGCUUACUCGUUUGCGCUAUUUUACCUACGCUUAGGAUGUUGAAGAUGUAGCACAUCAU